AGAGUUUGAUCCUGGCUCAGAGCGAACGCUGGCGGCGUGCUUAACACAUGCAAGUCGAGUGCGCGCCUGUAGCAAUACAGGUGGCGCACGGCGCACGGGUGCGUAACACGUGGGUAAUCUGCCCUUCGAUGGGGAAUAACUCCGGGAAACCGAAGCUAAUUCCGCAUAACAUUCCUUGAACUUCGGUUUGGGGAUUCAAAGCCGUAAGGCGUCGGAGGAGGAACCCGCGCACGAUUAGCUAGUUGGUAGGGUAACGGCCUACCAAGGCUUUGAUCGUUAGCUGGUCUGAGAGGAUGGCCAGCCACACUGGAACUGAGACACGGUCCAGACUCCUACGGGAGGCAGCAGUGGGGAAUCUUGCACAAUGGGCGAAAGCCUGAUGCAGCGACGCCGCGUGGGGGAUGAAGCUUUUCGGAGUGUAAACCCCUUUCGACCCGGACGAAUGCCCCGCAAGGGGACUGACGGUACGGGUAUAAGAAGCCCCGGCUAACUGCGUGCCAGCAGCCGCGGUAAGACGUGGGGGGCCAGCGUUGCUCGGAAUUACUGGGUGUAAAGGGUCAGUAGGCGGUGUGGCAAGUCGGGAGUGAAAUCUCUGGGCUCAACUCAGAGACUGCUUCCGAAACUGCCGUGCUAGAGUGUGGGAGAGGCGCGUGGAAUUACAGGUGUAGCGGUGAAAUGCGUAGAUAUCUGCAGGAACACCCGUGGCGAAAGCGGCGCGCUGGACCACAACUGACGCUGAAUGACGAAGCUAGGGGAGCAAACAGGAUUAGAUACCCUGGUAGUCCUAGCCCUAAACGAUCAGACUGGGUGCGCACGUUCGUGCGUCGUCCCGAGCUACGCGUAGUCUGCACUGGGAGUACGUCGCAGACUGAACUCAAGAUGACGGGCCGCCAGCGUGACAUGUG
rnacentral:rRNA from 1 species